rnacentral:rRNA from 1 species
AUUGAACGCUGGCGGCAGGCCUAACACAUGCAAGUCGAGCGGCAGCGGAAGGAAGCUUGCUUCCUUGCCGGUGAGCGGCGGACGGGUGAGUAAGGUAUGGGGAUCUGGCCGAAGGCGGGGGAUAACCACUGGAAACGGUGGCUAAUACCGCAUAAUCUCUAAGGAGCAAAGUGGGGGACCGUUCAGGCCUCACACCUUCGGAUGAACCCAUAUGGGAUUAGCUAGUAGGUGGGGUAAUGGCUCAACUAGGCGACGAUCUCUAGCUGGUCUGAGAGGAGGAGCAGCCACACUGGGACUGAGACACGGCCCAGACUCCUACGGGAGGCAGCAGUGGGGAAUAUUGCACAAUGGGCGCAAGCCUGAUGCAGCCAUGCCGCGUGUAUGAAGAAGGCCUUCGGGUUGUAAAGUACUUUCAGUCGUGAGGAAGGUGUUAAGGUUAAUAACCUUAGCAAUUGACGUUAGCGACAGAAGAAGCACCGGCUAACUCCGUGCCAGCCGCCGCCGUAA